rnacentral:rRNA from 1 species
UACGUAGGGUGCAAGCGUUGUCCGGAAUUACUGGGCGUAAAGAGUUCGUAGGCGGUUUGUCGCGUCGUUUGUGAAAACCAGCAGCUCAACUGCUGGCUUGCAGGUGAUACGGGCAGACUUGAGUACUGCAGGGGAGACUGGAAUUCCUGGUGUAGCGGUGAAAUGCGCAGAUAUCAGGAGGAACACCGAUGGCGAAGGCAGGUCUCUGGGCUGUUACUGACGCUGAGGAGCGAAAGCAUGGGGAGCGAACAGG